AAAUAGGCGAAGAAAGAGUCAGUAGACGUUACAAUGAUACAAUGCAUAGGGAUAAAAGGCCAUGGACUGUAAGCUUUUUUCAUUGUAGUAAGGUUGAAUUUUCACUCUGGAGCUGGCGUUUGGGACCUUGCUAUUGGCAAGUAAGAACGUUACCGGAAAUGUUUUCCGUUAUCAAUUUAAGUGGACAAAUCAUAAUUUGUCAACAAGGGUGGUACCGCGAUCCAAGCCUCGUCCCUUUU
rnacentral:ncRNA from 1 species